UAUAAAUACUACAAAUAAUUUCAAGUAGUAAUAAAUAAAGUUUCUAUAAAAAUCCUCUGCUGGUUGACCAAAAAGGAUUCAAAUCUUUUGUAAUAAACAACAUUUAAAAGUUAUAAAUAAAAAUUUAGUAUACAAGUUCCUUUCAAUUCCUGUUGACCUCAUCAAAUUAAUAAGAUUGCAGUAACCUUCUUUAACUCAUUUUAUAAGAAAAUUAGGAAAUUACGAGAAACUUCUUUUUACCUCCCCUCGUGCGUGUGGUGAUGGGAUGGUUUUCCUCUACGGCUCUACAUUAAUUCCACAACUACAAAUAUAUAAAUUGUUCUUAAUGAUUGGUGAGCCUAAAAUUAUAAUCCCUCCCCUUGUACUCUAACGACAAAUCAUAUAACAGUAAACCGAAUAUUAAAAUGAGAAAUCGUUAUUAAAAUAAUAUCACACUACCCACCACUCUCUCUCAAGGACGGUUAAGAGCAUCAGCUACGAAAACUGCUUCCCGUCUUCCUUCACCAAACCCUCACCAUCGGUCGCUCUCUUCUUCAUCUUGAAGCCUAAGCCAACCUAGCUCAAUGUCUCAUUCUUCUUCUAUUAACCUUCUUCAUUACCAUUACCUCCCUUCAGGGCUUAACCAAUCUUCCUCCCGGUUCUGUCUCACUGCUCCAUCUUCAUAUCGGUGGUCUAGUCCCGAGGAAGACUGCUCCUGCUUAGCCAUGCCCACCACAACCCUCCCUCGCUCUAUCUCUCCCUUCAAUGUCCCUCAUAGUGUUAGGACGAAAAAGCCAAAUGGGCAGCAGAAAAAGGAAGAAAUAGAGAAAGAGGUAUGGGAAUCAAUUUUAAAGCAGUUUGCAUAUUUAGGCUUAUAUCUAGACAAACAUCAAGGGAUGUUGUUAUAAAUCUACAUACUAAUAUAUACAUAUAUCAUGGUAUUGUAGGUGCCCAAUUACGUUUCCGAUUUAAUAUUAUCUAUGAAAUUGUUUCAUGAAAUAUACUGUCCCAUGAAUGGCACUAUAUAUGAUCAAAAAUAAGCAGACAAAAAGUUGUGGUAUUUCUACAUCUAUCUAUUAUUAUAAAGUAAGGUUCUCUCUCCUGUGAGAGCGCCACCUCAGAUUCCACAUAGAUAAUUCAUGGGUUCAGGAGCUGACACGUGUCCUCGGUUUUCGUUUUGAUUAUUUUGUUGUGUGUAUUGUUAAUGGGCCUCGAUCUCCAAUUGUUUGGUUUUCUUUGGGCUGUAACAUCUUUUAUUUAUUUGUGGGCUACGAGACACAAUAUUUGCUCUGUUAAAAAAAAAGAAAGUAAAAGGUCGUCUUCUUCAAUCGAUUUCUUAAAAUCCGAUUAGGUCAAACUCUCAUGGAGGUUCUAGGAGGUUUUCUGUAUCAAAUAUUUGUAUCAAAUCUCUCUGUUGGUUUCCUUCAUGUCGUUCCGUCUCCGAUUCAACGCCUAUGAUACGUUACAUGAUUAAGUGGCUCAUCGUCAUUUACGGCCAUCUUGGACCCACACCAUCUCAUUCAAUACUUCGUAACUCCCUCCAAGUCGGUGAAACUUUACCUAUAAAAAGGCAGUAUUCGUUCCAUAAUCAUCAUCCUCACCAAUCCUAACACAAUCAAAAUUUGGUUCUUAGUAACGUCAAACGCGGUGGUGAGCUCAUCGGUGUGGAUAUGCUCCUCCUCGACUCCAAGGCGACACUCAUGCCAGGAUCGUCACCAUCUCACCACCUACAGACGGCACUUAAAGGCGGGUUCUAUGCGGCUUUGAUGUCACUAGGUGUAAUCAAAAUUUUAGUCUGUCGGACUCUCCUCUAUUGAUAUGGUUGAGUGAUUCAACCAGUUUUGAUUAGUUAACCGAACCGGUUUCCUCAAUUCCAGAAGAACACUUCAGGUUUCGAAAUCAAAAUCAGCUGCUUGGCCUAGCCAACACAAAUACCCAGCUUCUAGUGAUGUUUCUGGGACGUUGAGUAUGUUUGACUCAGAUGCUGUAUCAUUCCAUAGCCACCUGGACGGCUAGCAUAAGUCCCACAAUUGAAAAGAGGCGUCUGUUCCUGAAUGCCACAUCUGGGAGACAACUUUAUUUUGACAAGGAGACUAAUGCAGAGGAAACCUAUUUUACAAGCUGGUCUCUCAAGACACUGGGAACACAUCAUCAGCUUCACUGCUGAGGGGUUAAUCCAAGGUUGAGCAUGUGACCAUAGCUGAACUAAACGAGUUUAUCCUCACUCCCAGCCUCAGGUUGUACAAUAAUAUUUAGUAUGAUUGUAUUUUGCAUGUGAUUAUGUUAAUGUAAAAUGUAGAGGUUGAAUUUGUCUGCCCCAUGAAGGUCACUGGAUUUAAUAUGGAUAAAGGCUGGUGCUAUGUCUCUUGCUCCAGAUGUACAAAGAAGCUUCAGCGGACGGUCUCAUCUUUUACUUGGCAACCUGCAGUAACACCAAUGCAGUUGGUUUCCUUCGAUAUGUUGGACCCUAAAAUGAGGUCCCAUAGACACAUCAGCAACUAACAUACAUUUUAAACAUUUUAUUUUAUGGAUCGUGUGGAAACAACUAUUGCUGAUGAGAUUGCUGAAAGUCUAUUUGUUGAUUUCAAUGGGAAAAAAUGCAUAUCUUGGUACGUGCCUACCGUAACAAAUGGUUGGCAAGACUUUCACCUUCCAGGUCAGAGUAAGCAGCUACAAUUUCGCUGCCAAUCACCAAACCUUCACUAUAUCACGCAUCUUGAACGAACGUGACCGUCUGCCACUCUCUGAGAUGGCAACGAUGAUCAUGGCGAUGAUAUGCUCGGGAAUAUCUCAGUGCUUACUAAGGUGGACACUGAUGGUGACGACUGUGAGUAAGCACCAACUAUAGGAAUUACUUCUACUGGUGUCCACACCAAUAAGCCUCUCGCAACAGCAACUUCCAAGGUUGCCAAGAAGGCAUGGGUCGCAUAGGCGAAGAUCAUGAAGUCUCUCUACCCACUAUUUUCUGUUUGAAUAAUGUUUCGGCAUCAAUUUUUAAAAUAUGUUGCAUCUGGUAAAGUUUCUUUAAAAUAAAUAAUUUCUUAACCAUCUUAUGAAUUCCGUUUGACUUCUUA